rnacentral:lncRNA from 1 species
CGCGGAGAUCCGAUUAGCGCGCGGCUAUUCAUUAGGCUGGGGGCGAUUGAAUUAGGUCCCUGGGCGCGGUCGCCGGCUGGGGGUGUGUGGCGCCGACCCCCGGGCUCUUGCCGUGGCCUCGGGAGGCUGGAGCAGCGAGCAGCGGCCCCAGCGAGUGUGUCGGGGAAGCGGGUGCCUCCGGGUCCCGGCCCCGCGGGUGCAGGCGGAGGCUGCCCGCUUCCCGCGUACACCGAGGACGGCCGGCCCGGCUCCGGAGAAAUGGCGCUUGAGAAAGGAGGGGAGGGGAAGGUUCCCGGACCCUGGGCAGGGACCCGUCGCCGGGGACCCGCGGAGCCCUCCGGGGAUGGAGGAGGCGCGAGCUGGAAGCGGCGCGCGAGCCCGAGCGCGGGGCUAACACCGUGGGGCCCAGUCUCUCCUGGCUCGGGUAAGUGGACGCGCCCCGAGGCCCCGGGUCCACGCAGGGCGCCCCUCGCAGACGGCGCAUUUCCUACUCUCCUAAGGAACCGAGUUCCCAUCACUGCCUCCGAUGAGCCUGUUUCCGGAUCAGGAACCUUUUUCAAGUUAAUUUUUAAAGCCUCAUUUGAAUUUUUUAAUAUAGGAAAAUACGUAUACGAGAAAAAUCUUGGAUGCAACAAAAAGAACACCGUGGCCACCCGUGGUGUCCCAGAAGUUGCUCUGAGCUCCUCGCAUCAGGGCAGGUGCUCCACCUCUAACCGCCCUGUGGGGGAACGGGAGGCCCCAAGCCCCUGGGAGUCCUGGUCUCCUCUAGAGUGUGUUGGAAGGACAGCCGCUGGAAAGGCCCCUCAGAGCCCCUAAACCAGCCUCCCCUCCCCCGUGGGCAGAUUGUUCGAGGGUCCUGGAGCCUGAAUGAUGGGCCCUCGGCUUGCCCACCCCCAUCCCCAGUCAUCAAUCACCAUUUGAGAAAUGCCCACUGCCAGGGACAUGGGAGGGCAGAGGGUAGCUCGCGGGUGCGUGGCCCCUAUCUCCUCAAGCUGGUUUAGACCCUUCUGGCUCAGCCUCACCAGAUUCCUAGGAUGAGCACUGGCUUCAAAUCCCCCAAGUGCUGGUCCCUUCGUGUCCCCGAAAGAGGCUGCUCGCGUGGGCAAAGGCCCCGAGGCGUCGAGUGCGCCUUCCAGGGCAGUGCGGAAGCUCCCUGCCCUCCUCCUUCCUCCCCACUUCUGCCUCCUCCUCCCCCAGUGUUCACUUGAAGCAAAUUCUAGUGGGCUUUUUUUUUUUCAAUACUGUUUCAAAACAGUUGUUACAGCAAAUAACUGCAGACGGGUCUGCUGGACGCGGUGGAGAGGGGCUGGCAGCUGCCCAGCACAGGCGCCUGGCCGCUGGGCAGCUCCCGCAAUACCAAAAUAAGCUCCCGAGUUCCCCUGGAAGACUUGGGCCGCCGGGAGCUCAGGCUGGCGAUCUGCUCAGAGGAAACCUCCCUACUUUCCUUUUUUACUCUUCCUGCUGUCCAGAGCUAACAAAUGUUUUUAAUUUCAGAGGAACAUGGUGUGGGGAUCUGCAGACUUGCCUUCCACUGGGGAGAGGGCCAGCGAGGGGACAGAGGGGGAGGAAAGGAGAGGGGAUAAUAGACCCGAGGUCAGUGUUGAUGCUGGAGGGCCCAGGUCUCUGAAGUUCCUGCAGCUUUGCAGGUGAGCGGGCUGCAAGUGAGGCUAGGCCUGUGGACACCCAGUGGGGCCUGGAACAGUGCCAGGAGUGGCCUUGAACCCCACCUUGAUCCCUCUCCAGCAGGAUCUGGAGUCACUUCCAUGGGCCUGGCAUACACCACUCCAGAUUUGCCCUCUGGCCUGGGGAGCAGAUAACCCCCCGCCCCACAUAACCAGCUGCGCUCCUACACCUAGCAGGCCGGCUCACAUCACCCUUUAACGCACACUAUAUUCACACACACACUUGUGCACAGUCUUGAAUGUGUGCCCACACAUCUGCCUGCACACACUCAUGUGCCCACAUGUGAAUCACUUGGAAGUGUACACAAAACCAAACCCACAGCACAGAUGGGCAGACAGGUGAGCCUCGUGCAGCAUGUGACACUCCCACAUGCACAAGACAUGUGUGCAGAGGCAUAUCACACACGCAGAAGCACUCCCGAGAACUGCCUUCUCCCUUUCAGCCUAGGGGCCCCUGUUCCCCCACAACCGGGCCCAGCCCUGGAGCCCCCUCCAGCACUCCUCUCCCACCCCCACGCUCCCCAAGAGCAGCAGAUGUAGGUCUCCCGGCUCCCAAACCUCUGAGAUGCUGCUCUGUCUGAAAUCAUCAUAUAAAUAAUCAUUUUUUAAUACAAGGGGGUGGGGGUGUCAGGCAAGUUCCAUGAAAUUGUGAAUUAGCCGCUGCUCCAAAUAAAUGCCUGCUUCGGCCCGAGAGCAGCCGCGCUGCGCCCGCUGCGCCCCCAAUAAUCGUGUGUUGGGUAUCUCUCCAUUGUUCCCUGGGCCAUUAGUCAAAGGGCAAAUUAGAAACAAUUUCUUGACGACAAAAAUUGACUCUUAAUUCUUCCCACCAGAGGCGCAGGGGGACAAGUCCAGAGGCCAGGCCUGAGGCUGGGGCUGGCGGCAGGAGGGGUAGGCGGGGUAGAGGUGGGGUAGAGGUGGGGGAUCUAAGAUGGUUCACAGCACAGAGACCUCCCUCAACUGGAGGGCAGCAGCAGCUCACCCCCACCCCAGAAUCAGUGUUCCAGAGGACAGCUGGGGGCAGGGGGUUAGGAACAAUCCCACUCCCUCCUGGAAGAGGUCCUGACCCCCCACCCCACCCAUCUGCCUGUACGGGUCCCUCUGCUAUCGACUGGGGCGAGUUCUUUUCAUGAGGGCCUUGCCUGGUGCCUGGAGGGAACAGGGUGUGGGGGAAAGGUCUGUGUGUUCCCCCCUCACCUCCCCUGCUCAGCGGUGUGGCCUCUGGCUCUGGGGAGGAUCGGGAAGCCCCAGGGUCCGUGCCUUGGAGUGGGGGGACAGCCUUUUCUCUGCCACAGCUUCUGCCUUUGGAGGCUUACCCUUCCUAGGAGCAGAACUGUUGUGGAGGGGAAGAGGACGGCGAAGGUUCCGAAGGGAAGGGGGCUGCCCCCACUGAAAACGAAGCUUCCAGUCACAGCCCCUUCAUUAUUUAUCAGGACCCAGGGGAUGAGGUGGCAGGGGAGGGGGCUGCAUGGAGGGAGUGCCCUCACCCUCGUCCCCAGCGCCUGCCCCCUCCCGACCAGGCCUGGGCUGAGGCCCAGGGUAAGGGGGCUGAGGCAGGCCACAGAGGAGCAAGACUUGUCAGGGGCCAGACCUGGGUAGGAGGAUUGUCCUCCAGGCACACACGGCCCCCAGCCCCCCAGCCUGUCGAACUGGGCUCUCCCAGAAGGUCCCCGGCUCCAGCCCAAGCAGGGAGCCAGGUUGGGGGUGUGGGAAGGCAGAAGUCCCAGGGAUCCUGGGGGAGGCUCAGGUUGUACCUGAAGGCCACAGUCUCCUCGACAGACCUCGGACGAGGUUGUAAGUGUUUUAAAGAAACUAGAGCAGCAGAGAAGAGAGACUCAGAAGCCCGUGGCACGGCUUUCUCGGCGUCCCCUCCAGCGAGGGGGUCUCCAUUGCUGCAGUUGCCGGUUUUGUCCAACCAGGAGGUUGACCCGAAACAGCCCUCCGUCUUCCUGCCCAUGAGGAUGAGGACAGGAAGCCAGACCCGGGAGAGAAAGCCCAGAUCAGACAGAUGGGGGUUGGGAGGGCCUAGUGGCUGAAACUGCCCUGCUUGGGGACAAUGCUCAGGCAGGACCAAUCCAAACGAGGGCACUGCUUAUGUGGUCCUUCCGGAGCAUCCUCCAAGGCAGAGCCUGGCUUCGGGCCCUCCCUGCAAGGACACCUGCCUCCACUCCCUGCCAGACCAGGCCUGGCUGCAGAGGCGGAGGGGCGGCAGGGCUGCCUGUCUCCACUGUUUGGCGGUGUUUACACGUGUCGCUGUCAGGGUGUCUGGACAGUGGGGGUCGGGGGCCUCCCGGGCCCAGACUUCCCCAGGCCUAUUCUCACACUGGUGAGAGGGCCCUAGGGGAAGGGUGUGGGCUGGGUGGCGGGGCCAGGCCAGCUGAGACCUACAGGACCGUGGAGCAUUUAGGUCUCCCACCCAACUCCACCCGGUCCUCUGAGCAUCAGUUACAGAGCCCAGGCAGCAGGAGGGCAGGGCCCAGCCCCUUAUCACCCAUCCUCAAGGCAGGCAGGAACCCUGAAGGCAGCUUCCACCAGGGGUUCCCUUAGCCCCCACCCUCCAAAAGCCCCAGACCCUGCCAGGCCUCACCCUGCCAGCAUCGUGGCCCCAGCUGACGGCUCCCAAGGGCAGGUGCUGGCAACACAAGCAGGAGCCCUCGGGGCAUCCCGCAGGGCACACACCAGGUCGCCCUGGGCUCCCCAAGCACCUCCCAGACCCAGCCCUUGGGUGGGUCCUGGCCCACAAACCCCCACGCCCUGCCCCUGAGAUGAGCCCCACCGCCCACCUGCCCUCCAGCCCUGGAGACCUUUCUCCCCCUUGGCCAUGGCUCCCAUGGGGAGGCUGCAGGCCCUCCCUGGGCUGGACCAGAGGGGACAGACUGUCUCUCCCCUGCGACUUCUGGGGGCACUGGAGUCCUUGGCCUGGUUACCUUCAGCAUUUAUAGCCCUCCAGUGAGUUAUUCCUCGGAGUUCUCACAGAGCAGCAUGCGCCUGCGGCAAAGCCCUCACCUCCAGCCCCUGGACCACCUGACUGCUGCCUCCCGCCUGGCGCCAAACACGG